GAAGUCAGACCGUAAGGACUGGUGGAGCGCUUAGAAGUGAGAAUGCCGGUAUGAGUAGCGAAAGACAAGUGAGAAUCUUGUCCACCGAAUGCCUAAGGUUUCCUGAGGAAGGCUCGUCCGCUCAGGGUUAGUCGGGACCUAAGCCGAGGCUGAAAAGCGUAGGCGAUGGCCAACAGGUUGAUAUUCCUGUACCACCUCCCCGCCGUUUGAGUAAUGGGGGGACGCAGUAGGAUAGGGUAAGCGCGCUGCUGGAUAUGCGCGUUCAAGCAGUUAGGCUGAUGAGUAGGCAAAUCCGCUCAUCAUAAAGGCUGAGCUGUGAUGACGAGGGAAUUAUAGUACCGAAGUUCCUGAUUCCACACUGCCAAGAAAAGCCUCUAGCGAGGCGGGAGGUGCCCGUACCGCAAACCGACACAGGUAGGCGAGGAGAGAAUCCUAAGGUGAUCGAGAGAACUCUCGUUAAGGAACUCGGCAAAAUGACCCCGUAACUUCGGGAGAAGGGGUGCUCUGGUAGGGUGUAUAGCCCGAGAGAGCCGCAGUGAAUAGGCCCAGGCGACUGUUUAGCAAAAACACAGGUCUCUGCGAAGCCGCAAGGCGAAGUAUAGGGGCUGACGCCUGCCCGGUGCUGGAAGGUUAAGAGGAGGGGUUAUCCUUUGGGAGAAGCUCUGAAUCGAAGCCCCAGUAAACGGCGGCCGUAACUAUAACGGUCCUAAGGUAGCGAAAUUCCUUGUCGGGUAAGUUCCGACCCGCACGAAAGGCGUAACGAUCUGGGCACUGUCUCAACGAGAGACUCGGUGAAAUUAUAGUACCUGUGAAGAUGCAGGUUACCCGCGACAGGACGGAAAGACCCCGUGGAGCUUUACUGUAGCCUGAUAUUGAAUUUUGGUACAGCUUGUACAGGAUAGGUAGGAGCCUGAGAAGCCGGAGCGCUAGCUUCGGUGGAGGCGUCGGUGGGAUACUACCCUGGCUGUAUUGAAAUUCUAACCCGCGGCCCUGAUCGGGCCGGGAGACAGUGUCAGGUGGGCAGUUUGACUGGGGCGGUCGCCUCCUAAAAUGUAACGGAGGCGCCCAAAGGUUCCCUCAGAAUGGUUGGAAAUCAUUCGUAGAGUGUAAAGGCACAAGGGAGCUUGACUGCGAGACCUACAAGUCGAGCAGGGACGAAAGUCGGGCUUAGUGAUCCGGUGGUUCCGCAUGGAAGGGCCAUCGCUCAACGGAUAAAAGCUACCCCGGGGAUAACAGGCUUAUCUCCCCCAAGAGUCCACAUCGACGGGGAGGUUUGGCACCUCGAUGUCGGCUCAUCGCAUCCUGGGGCUGUAGUCGGUCCCAAGGGUUGGGCUGUUCGCCCAUUAAAGCGGUACGCGAGCUGGGUUCAGAACGUCGUGAGACAGUUCGGUCCCUAUCCGUCGUGGGCGUAGGAAAUUUGAGAGGAGCUGUCCUUAGUACGAGAGGACCGGGAUGGACACACCGCUGGUGUACCAGUUGUCUUGCCAAAGGCAUCGCUGGGUAGCUAUGUGUGGACGGGAUAAGUGCUGAAAGCAUCUAAGCAUGAAGCCCCCCUCAAGAUGAGAUUUCCCAUAGCGCAAGCUAGUAAGAUCCCUGAAAGAUGAUCAGGUUGAUAGGUCAGAGGUGGAAGCGUGGCGACAUGUGUAGCUGACUGAUACUAAUCGAUCGAGGACUUAACCAA
rnacentral:rRNA from 3 species